rnacentral:piRNA from 1 species
GAAUCAAGUGGUUGGAACACUGUCUG